CUCUGCCUGCUAUUUAUGCCACACACUCAAGACACCAAUUGUCAAGAAUUUCCCUGCAAACUGUCAUAUGUUAGUGAAUGUGUUUGGAGGAAGCAGCCGCGGCGGCGGAGGGCGAGCAGCGCGGAGGGGAGAGACGCCACUUGUGAGCUGCUGAGCAAAUUGUCUUCUGGGCAUGAGGGGGGCAUGGAGGAGGAAUCUGAGCAGGCUCAGUUUAAGAGACACAAUGUCACCACGGCAGUGUGUGAGGGGGGCCACGGCGAGAGGAAGGAGAGGACUCUGGGAUAAAUACUGAACGGAGCAGUUGGCGGUGAGGGCUGCAGCCGGGGCCGGAGAGGCUGCCGGGGAGACGCAACCGUGACUCCGGUAAUACAGAAAGAAAUAUCACCCCCGACUGGAGCUUUGAUCAACUGAGUGUACCGGGGAGGAGGAGGAGGAGGAGGAGGAA